UACGAAGGGGGCUAGCGUUGUUCGGAAUCACUGGGCGUAAAGGGCGCGUAGGCGGCCGAUCAAGUCGGGGGUGAAAGCCUGUGGCUUAACCACAGAAUGGCCUUCGAUACUGUUUGGCUUGAGACCGGAAGAGGUUAGUGGAACUGCGAGUGUAGAGGUGAAAUUCGUAGAUAUUCGCAAGAACACCAGUGGCGAAGGCGGACUCACUGGCCCGGUACGUGACG
rnacentral:rRNA from 1 species